UCCUACGGGAGGCAGCAGUGGGGAAUUUUCCGCAUUGGGCGAAAGCCUGACGGAGCAACGCCGCGUGAGGGAUGAAGGCCUCUGGGCUGUAAACCUCUUUUCUCUGGGAAGAAGAUCUGACGGUACUUGAGGAAUAAGCCACGGCUAAUUCCUUGCCGCCAGCCGCGGUAAUACUGGAGUGGCAGGCGUUAUCCGGAAUUAUUGGGGGUAAAGCGUCCGUAGGCGGCUUUUCAUCUCUGCUGAUAAAAAGUGGAGCUUAACUCCAUCAAGGCAGUGGAAACUGAUUGGCUUGAGUGUGGUAGGGGCAGAGGGAAUUCCCGGUGUAGCGGUGAAAUGCGUAGAUAUCGUGAAGAACACCAGUGGCGAAGGCGCUCUGCUGGGCCAUAACUGACGCUCAUGGACGAAAGCCAGGGGAGCGAAAGGGAUUACAUACCCCUGUAGUCCUGGCCGUAUACGAUGAACACUAAGUGUCUGGGGAAUCGACUCCCUCGGUGUCGUAGCCUACGUGUUAAGUGUUCCGCCUGGGGAGUACACACGCGACUGUGAGACUCAAAUGAAUUGACGG
rnacentral:rRNA from 1 species